AGUGAACGCUGGCGGUAGGCCUAACACAUGCAAGUCGAACGGCAGCACAGUAAGAGCUUGCUCUUACGGGUGGCGAGUGGCGGACGGGUGAGGAAUACAUCGGAAUCUACUUUUUCGUGGGGGAUAACGUAGGGAAACUUACGCUAAUACCGCAUACGACCUACGGGUGAAAGCAGGGGAUCUUCGGACCUUGCGCGAUUCAAUGAGCCGAUGUCGGAUUAGCUAGUUGGCGGGGUAAAGGCCCACCAAGGCGACGAUCCGUAGCUGGUCUGAGAGGAUGAUCAGCCACACUGGAACUGAGACACGGUCCAGACUCCUACGGGAGGCAGCAGUGGGGAAUAUUGGACAAUGGGCGCAAGCCUGAUCCAGCCAUGCCGCGUGGGUGAAGAAGGCCUUCGGGUUGUAAAGCCCUUUUGUUGGGAAAGAAAAGCAGCAGGUUAAUACCCCGCUGUUCUGACGGUACCCAAAGAAUAAGCACCGGCUAACUUCGUG
rnacentral:rRNA from 1 species